rnacentral:rRNA from 1 species
CCUAUGAAAUCGAGUGGCAAACGGGUGAGUAACGCGUAAACAACCUGCCCUUCAGAUGGGGAUAACAGCCGGAAACGGCUGCUAAUACCGAAUACGAUCUUUUCGUCGCAUGACGGAAAGAAGAAAGGAUGGCCUCUAUACAAAGCUAUCGCCGAAGGAGGGGUUUGCGUCUGAUUAGCUGGUUGGAGGGGUAACGGCCCAACAAGGCGAUGAUCAGUAGCCGGUCUGAGAGGAUGAACGGCCACAUUGGGACUGAGACACGGCUCAGACUCCUACGGGAGGCAGCAGUGGGGAAUCUUCUGCAAUGGACGAAAGUCUGACGGAGCAACGCCGCGUGAGUGAAGAAGGUCUUCGGAUUGUAAAACUCUGUUAUACGGGACGAAAAAGACGGAUGCCAACAGUAUCCGUCUGUGACGGU